UUUUAUUUGAGAGUUUGAUCCUGGCUCAGGAUGAACGCUGGCGGCGUGCCUAACACAUGCAAGUUGAGCGAUUUACUUCGGUAAAGAGCGGCGGACGGGUGAGUAACGCGUGGGUAACCUACCCUGUACACACGGAUAACAUACCGAAAGGUAUGCUAAUACGGGAUAAUAUAUUUGAGAGGCAUCUCUUGAAUAUCAAAGGUGAGCCAGUACAGGAUGGACCCGCGUCUGAUUAGCUAGUUGGUAAGGUAACGGCUUACCAAGGCGACGAUCAGUAGCCGACCUGAGAGGGUGAUCGGCCACAUUGGAACUGAGACACGGUC
rnacentral:rRNA from 1 species